rnacentral:rRNA from 1 species
UACAGAGGUCUCAAGCGUUGUUCGGAUUCAUUGGGCGUAAAGGGCGCGUAGGCGGUUUGUCGCGUCUGCUGUGAAAACUCGGGGCUUAACCCCGGGCCUGCAGUGGGUACGGGCAGACUAGAGUGCGGUAGGGGAGACUGGAAUUCCUGGUGUAGCGGUGAAAUGCGCAGAUAUCAGGAGGAACACCGGUGGCGAAGGCGGGUCUCUGGGCCGUAACUGACGCUGAGGAGCGAAAGCGUGGGGAGCGAACAGG